rnacentral:rRNA from 1 species
UUGAACGCUGGCGGCAUGCCUUACCCAUGCAAGUCGCACGGCAGCACGGGUGCUUGCACCUGGUGGCGAGUGGCGAACGGGUGAGUAAUACAUCGGAACAUGUCCUGUAGUGGGGGAUAGCCCGGCGAAAGCCGGAUUAAUACCGCAUACGAUCCACGGAUGAAAGCGGGGGACCUUCGGGCCUCGCGCUAUAGGGUUGGCCGAUGGCUGAUUAGCUAGUUGGUGGGGUAAAGGCCUACCAAGGCGACGAUCAGUAGCUGGUCUGAGAGGACGACCAGCCACACUGGGACUGAGACACGGCCCAGACUCCUACGGGAGGCAGCAGUGGGGAAUUUUGGACAAUGGGCGAAAGCCUGAUCUAGCAAUGCCGCGUGUGUGAAGAAGGCCUUCGGGUUGUAAAGCACUUUUGUCCGGAAAGAAAUCCUUGACUCUAAUACAGUCGGGGGAUGACGGUACCGGAAGAAUAAGCACCGGCUAACUACGUG